CAGCAGUCGCCGCGGUAAUACGUAGGUGGCAAGCGUUGUCCGGAAUUAUUGGGCGUAAAGGGCUCGCAGGCGGUUUCUUAAGUCUGAUGUGAAAGCCCCCGGCUCAACCGGGGAGGGUCAUUGGAGACUGGGAAACUUGAGUGCAGAGGAGGAGAGUGGAAAUCCACGUGUAGCGGUGAAAUGCGUAGAGAUGUGGAGGAACACCAGUGGCGAAGGCGACUCUCUGGUCUGUAACUGACGCUGAGGAGCGAAAGCGUGGGGAGCGAAUAGGAUUAGAUACCCCCGUAGUCCCUGUCUCUUAUAC
rnacentral:rRNA from 1 species